rnacentral:lncRNA from 1 species
UGACUUUGGUUCUGAUGGUGACUUUGUGUUCAGACAACAGUGUUCAGUUGACCUUAAGUUGGAUUUAAGUUCCGAGUUUUGACUGAAGCUUCGACCUAGUAAUCAGAUUUGCACAACCAGCCAGUCCAGCCUGCAUCAUUUGCAUCAUAGCAUAUUUAUUUUUCAAAAGAAACGCAAUGAAAAAAAAUUGAAAAAAAUAAAAAUAAAAAAAAAACAAACAGAAAAAAAAAAAGAAAAAAAAACUAAUCUCUGCAUGCAUAUCAUUUCUCAGGUACAUUCCAGAGCUUGUCUACCGAUAGAGAUGGCAACAGUCUCAGAGCCGAAGCGGAAGACCUGUUCCUACAGUUUCCACCGUGAGCCAUUGACUGCAUUGAUUGAGUUGGGUAGUUUCGUGACGGACGAUCGCCUGAAGAGUUUUGUUGGGCAGUAUGGAGACAUUCUGAAAGCGGAAGACCUGUUCCUACAGUUUCCACCGUGAGCCAUUGAC